rnacentral:rRNA from 1 species
GACGAACGCUGGCGGCGUGCUUAACACAUGCAAGUCGAACGUGAUUUUUGUGGAAAGCCCUUCGGGGACGGAAGCGAAAUGAAAGUGGCGAACGGGUGAGUAACACGUGAGCAACCUACCUUACACAGGGGGAUAGCCGUUGGAAACGACGAUUAAUACCGCAUGAGACCACAAAGCCACAUGGCUUAGGGGUAAAAGAUUUAUCGGUGUAAGAUGGGCUCGCGUCUGAUUAGCUAGUUGGAAGGGUAAAGGCCUACCAAGGCAACGAUCAGUAGCCGGUCUGAGAGGAUGAACGGCCACAUUGGAACUGAGACACGGUCCAAACUCCUACGGGAGGCAGCAGUGGGGAAUAUUGCACAAUGGGGGGAACCCUGAUGCAGCGACGCCGCGUGAGCGAAGAAGGUUUUCGAAUCGUAAAGCUCUGUCCUAUGAGAAGAUAAUGACGGUAUCAUAGGAGGAAGCCCCGGCUAAAUACGUGCCAGCAGCCGCGGUAAUACGUAUGGGGCGAGCGUUGUCCGGAAUUAUUGGGCGUAAAGGGUACGUAGGCGGCCUAUUAAGUCAGGUGUGAAAGCGUGAGGCUUAACCUCAUUAAGCACUUAAAACUGGAAGGCUUGAGUGAAGGAGAGGAAAGUGGAAUUCCUAGUGUAGCGGUGAAAUGCGUAGAUAUUAGGAGGAAUACCGGUGGCGAAGGCGACUUUCUGGACUUUUACUGACGCUCAGGUACGAAAGCGUGGGGAGCAAACAGG